ACAUGGAUAGCUCAGUUGGUUAGAGCAUGGUACUGAUAACGCCAAGGUUGCAGGUUCGAUCCCUGUUUCGGACG